UGGCGAACGGGUGAGUAACACGUGGGCAAUCUGCCCUUCACUCUGGGACAAGCCCUGGAAACGGGGUCUAAUACCGGAUACUGACCCUCGCAGGCAUCUGCGAGGUUCGAAAGCUCCGGCGGUGAAGGAUGAGCCCGCGGCCUAUCAGCUUGUUGGUGAGGUAAUGGCUCACCAAGGCGACAACGGGUAGCCGGCCUGAGAGGGCGACCGGCCACACUGGGACUGAAACACGGCCCAAACUCCUACGGGAGGCAGCAGUGGGGAAUAUUGCACAAUGGGCGAAAGCCUGAUGCAGCGACGCCGCGUGAGGGAUGACGGCCUUCGGGUUGUAAACCUCUUUCAGCAGGGAAGAAGCGAAAGUGACGGUACCUGCAGAAGAAGCGCCGGCUAACUACGUGCCAGCAGCCGCGGUAAUACGUAGGGCGCAAGCGUUGUCCGGAAUUAUUGGGCGUAAAGAGCUCGUAGGCGGCUUGUCACGUCGGUUGUGAAAGCCCGGGGCUUAACCCCGGGUCUGCAGUCGAUACGGGCAGGCUAGAGUUCGGUAGGGGAGAUCGGAAUUCCUGGUGUAGCGGUGAAAUGCGCAGAUAUCAGGAGGAACACCGGUGGCGAAGGCGGAUCUCUGGGCCGAUACUGACGCUGAGGAGCGAAAGCGUGGGGAGCGAACAGGAUUAGAUACCCUGGUAGUCCACGCCGUAAACGGUGGGCACUAGGUGUGGGCAACAUUCCACGUUGUCCGUGCCGCAGCUAACGCAUUAAGUGCCCCGCCUGGGGAGUACGGCCGCAAGGCUAAAACUCAAAGGAAUUGACGGGGGCCCGCACAAGCGGCGGAGCAUGUGGCUUAAUUCGACGCAACGCGAAGAACCUUACCAAGGCUUGACAUACACCGGAAAGCAUCAGAGAUGGUGCCCCCCUUGUGGUCGGUGUACAGGUGGUGCAUGGCUGUCGUCAGCUCGUGUCGUGAGAUGUUGGGUUAAGUCCCGCAACGAGCGCAACCCUUGUCCCGUGUUGCCAGCAAGCCCUUCGGGGUGUUGGGGACUCACGGGAGACCGCCGGGGUCAACUCGGAGGAAGGUGGGGACGACGUCAAGUCAUCAUGCCCCUUAUGUCUUGGGCUGCACACGUGCUACAAUGGCCGGUACAAUGAGCUGCGAUACCGCAAGGUGGAGCGAAUCUCAAAAAGCCGGUCUCAGUUCGGAUUGGGGUCUGCAACUCGACCCCAUGAAGUCGGAGUCGCUAGUAAUCGCAGAUCAGCAUUGCUGCGGUGAAUACGUUCCCGGGCCUUGUACACACCGCCCGUCACGUCACGAAAGUCGGUAACACCCGAAGCCGGUGGCCCAACCCCUUGUGGGAGGGAGCUGUCGAAGGUGGGACUGGCGAUUGGAACGAAGUC
rnacentral:rRNA from 1 species